AACCAUACAUUGAAUAUCUCAAAAAAAUAUAAAUAGAAACAGAUGAUACUUUUAUAGUUCAGAACUAUCAUAGAAGUACCAAAACAGUCUAAAACGGUUUCACAAGCAUCAUACAUCCAAUAAAGAAACAUAGUCCUAAGAAAUCUUAACACACUCAUUGAAGAUAUCCACAGCCAACUUGUUUCUGAUGUCUUCUGAAUCUAUAUCACGCAGCUUGGAGAAAUCUUCAAUUCUCUGAUUCUCUGAAACUCUGUAGCAGAGAGGAUGCGUUGUACUUUAUCGAUAUACUCAUAUCUUGCACAUUGAUUUAUCCUAACAUCUGAAUUUGGCUCUUGUCCUAGGUACUUUCGCGAGAAGCUUCUUUUGGAAUUUGAAGUUAGGAGCUUUAAUGAAAUCACUUGCAUUGUUUUCACAAACUUUUUGUAUUGGAAAUAUAAUGGAGGCAUUGUCAAAAGCUAAAAUCCGUUGCUUCAUCUACAAGAGAAAACAACGUCCAAGGAGUAUCGUCUAACAUUUGUUGUAUGUUUAAGGUUUGAACAGUGAAAUAUAGUUGCCCACUUGCCACAUAAUUACAUUCAUCUUUGAAUAAUUAUUAUAUUAGUUAUAUCACUUUUAAAUAUACAAAUAUUUCAAUGUUAAAUAGUGAUUUUUACAUUCAAAAAAAAUAAAAUAAAAAAAAUAGUGAUUUUAACAAUUGUCAUAGUGGUAUAACAGUCAUUCGUCAAAGUUUUUCGUUCAAAUCUUGUUUUCUUCCCCAAAUAGAUUAUCUUCCGUUGAGUUUCUUAUAACUAAUUCAUGAAAGUCUAAUCUUUAAUUAACACAUAUAACAAAUUUUGAAAAACGGAUUUGAAAACGCAUAUAACAAAUUUAACCCUAAUAAUAGUGGGCCAAGAUUUUGGUUGUAUUGGGAAGAAUCUGGGCGGUUGAUAGGAUAAGAGGACACGUGGAGGAUGAAGAAACGUAAGAGUUUGAUGUCCGAUACAGGAGAUCCGAUAACCUUGAGGUUAUUGGAUAUUCAGAUUCAGACUAUGCUGGAGAUCCGAUAACCUUGAGGUUAUUGGAUAUUCAGAUUCAGACUAUGCUGGAUGCGUCGAUAGCAGAAAAUCGACGUUUGGCUACUUGUUCCUAUUAGCUGGGGGAGCAAUAUCAUGGAAAAGUGGAAAGCAGUCUGUCAUUGCUACUUCCACUAUGGAGGCCGAAUUUGUGGCAUGCUUUGAGGCCACAAUUCAUGCAUUGUGGUUGCAGAACUUUAUCUCAGGGCUUCGGAUUGUCGACUCCAUAGAGAAGCCGCUGAGAAUUUAUUGUGAUAAUUCUGCAGCUGUAUUCUUCUCUAAGAAUGAUAAGUACUCGAAGGGUGCUAAACACAUGGAGUUAAAGUACUUGUCCGUGAAAGAAGAAGUGCAGAAACGUAGAGUUUCAUUUGAGCAUAUUAGGACGGACAUGAUGGUUGCGGAUCCGUUAACUAAAGGUCUACCACCCAAGGCGUUCAUUGGCCAUGUAGAGCGUAUGGGGAUUAUAGACAAAGCCUUGCUAUUUUGAUUAUAGUAUGCUCGUUUUAUGUAUGAUACUAUGAAUUCACUUAAAGUAACGUUUCUGGAUUUAUUAUGUUAUCAUUAAAGUAUAUGUAUACACUUAGGGUUUAUGGAUAACAUAUAGUUAUUUUGAGAAUUAAGGUUUCUCUCAUUGAAAGGAAAUUAUAAAGCUAGAAUUGGUUUGUGAUACAUGGAAGGGAGCAUGUCGUUCAAUGAUGUGUAACCGCCAUGAUUCAAUCAAUUUUAAUUUUUUAUUUAAGUAAUUAAAGGUCUAAUGAACUUGAUGUUAAAGCGCGCAUUAAAGUUAUUAAACCAUUAAUUUGACACAAAGGCCAAGUGGGAGAAUGUAAGAA
rnacentral:lncRNA from 1 species